rnacentral:rRNA from 1 species
UGGGGAAUAUUGCACAAUGGGCGAAAGCCUGAUGCAGCGACGCCGCGUGGGGGAUGAAGGCCUUCGGGUUGUAAACCCCUUUCAGCAGGGAAGAAGCGAAAGUGACGGUACCUGCAGAAGAAGCGCCGGCUAACUACGUGCCAGCAGCCGCGGUAAUACGUAGGGCGCAAGCGUUGUCCGGAAUUAUUGGGCGUAAAGAGCUCGUAGGCGGUUUGUCGCGUCUGGUGUGAAAACUCAAGGCUCAACCUUGAGCUUGCAUCGGGUACGGGCAGACUAGAGUGCGGUAGGGGUGACUGGAAUUCCUGGUGUAGCGGUGGAAUGCGCAGAUAUCAGGAGGAACACCGAUGGCGAAGGCAGGUCACUGGGCCGCAACUGACGCUGAGGAGCGAAAGCAUGGGGAGCGAACAGGAUUAGAUACCCGCGUAGUCC